rnacentral:rRNA from 1 species
AGGCAGCAGUGGGGAAUAUUGGGCAAUGGGCGCAAGCCUGACCCAGCAACGCCGCGUGAAGGAAGAAGGCUUUCGGGUUGUAAACUUCUUUUAAGAGGGACGAAGGAAGUGACGGUACCUCUUGAAUAAGCCACGGCCAACUACGUGCC